CUUCCUUCUCGGUUUCACGGAUGCCCUGUGCUGCUUCGGUUGGUAAGGAGGUAUUCAUCUUGAUUUUUUGCCGAGGGUUGAGAAAGGUAUCUUCACCUCAGGUAUUAUUUUACCUUGAUCUAUUGCCGAGGCUGAGAUUGGUAGAUCCAAUUGGAUCUUGGUUGCCUUCUAUUCGAUACUCUGUUGCCUUCUUGUUGGUUUCGGAUAAAGGUAUUUUAUACCUCAUAUUGUACCUA
rnacentral:lncRNA from 1 species